CCCGUCCGGGUCCGUGGUUGCGUCGACCGUGGCGUGCCCUCAAUGGGGACGCCGGGUCGGCAAGCCGAUGCCAGCCGCAGGCGAAACGGCCCACGUAAGGCGACUUUUCGUCGACUGAUCACGGUGCGGCUUAGAGGUAAGUCCUGCCUCUUGGGAGGGCCCGAUGCCCUCCGGACAAGGGAGAAGGGUAGUAGUGGCGCACAAGCGCCGCGAGCCCCUCAGCAGGCGGAUGUGGGGACGAAGACCAGGUCGGCCGGGCGGG
rnacentral:ncRNA from 17 species